UACAUAGGGUGCUAGCGUUGCUCGGAAUUACUGGGCGUAAAGCAUGUGUAGGAGGAUCUGUAAGUCAAAAGUGCAAUCCCUAGGCUCAACCUAGGAACUGCUUUUGAUACUACAGAUCUAGAGUGAGAUAGAGGGUAGCGGAAUUCUUAGUGUAGGGGUAAAAUCCGUAGAUAUUAAGAGGAACACCAAAAGCGAAGGCAGCUAUCUAGGUCUUUACUGACUCUGAGACAUGACAGCGUGGGGAGCAAACAGG
rnacentral:rRNA from 1 species